UUAAAGAGAAUUCUCCUUCGCCUAGGACGU
rnacentral:piRNA from 1 species